AAACAAUGCAUCUCAUUUCUGUGAUCGAAAAUAUAAAAAAAGAGAAACAAAAGCCGGAGCCAGCGACAUCGCUCGAAUUUAUUCAAUCUUGGCGAAAAGACUGAGUGUUUGCAGAACCAUAGGAGUAUCGUUGGAAAAGACGAAUACAGGGUAAUGGCUUAAACACGCGAAUUGUAUUUAGGAAGACGUGCUGGCCAAACUAUUGCAAGUUUGAUUGUUCAGCAUAAUGUUAGAACAACAAACUCUUCACCUAUGCACGGUCAUCAGCCCCCGCCAGGUCCUGGCCUGUCAUUUGUGUCACAAGGAAGUACCACACCUGGUCAUGUGUCAGGAAUUGGAGAGAUAACAUCUUACUUAGAAGUAAAUUGAAGGCAGCCAACAAUUGGACGGUGGUGCCAAUCAAUGAAAAGAAGGGAUACACGUACAUGCACUGAGUACACAGAGAUCAUCAAGGAAAAAACCCUUCGAUCAAAGUUCCUUUUUGAUUCAGCUUAUCCAAAGCUGAUUUCCUCUACAAUUGCCCCUUAUAUAUCCACCUGCGGCUAAUGAGGAGCUGCAAUAUCCAAUAGGUCAAGGGCAAGCAACCCGGAAACAAUAUGAAGAUUUACUCAUACAAAUUGGUACAUGGUGUAUGUAACUAUGUUGUUUUAACUAACUUCAACAUAACUGACUAUGGGUAGGAACAUGUUGUGUGACUUUGGCAGCAUGGUUUUAUUGGAUGUAUACCAUUGAGUAUGAAAGUGCAUGUGUGACCCUGGCUGUUUUUUCAGUCAGUAGAUGACUUUAGUAUUUGAAAUGAUGCUUGAAUUUAUAUGUGUAAUAUGAAGGCGUGACCAAAUGUGUGACAUUAUGGUCGACUGUCCUGUCAUCAUCAUGGUGAUAAAAUGUGAUUUUAAUAAGUGAACUGCUUAUAAACAUAAGGCAGAAAUAUCAUUGAUAAAAUACUGAUGAACAUAGCAUACAAGUGCCCUGAAAUGCCAUGAGAAUAUGUAUUUGAGUUUUAAGUGUGUAAGGUAUUGUGAAUUUUGUUAAUUGUUUUGUUAUAAAAAUAUAGGAUCCAAAGUAUUCAAUCAUAGAUCACUCUGAAAAAGAAGAAUAAGUAAAAACCUUGUCUGGCAAAUAACUACAUAAAUAAUGGGCCAAGUUCCAGAUUUUUUUGUCACAAGUCAAGACCAUUAACAGGAAUUGUUGACUCUUAUAGGUGUUAUGUAUCAUGAUUUGUGUUAAGUUUAUUAUGGGAGACCCAUGAUCAAACAUGGUGAAUUAAUUGUUUUGUUAUUACAAUAGAGGAUCCAAAGUAUUUGAUCAUAGGUCACUCUGAAACAGAAGAAUUUGUGAAAACCUUGUCUGGCAAAUAGCUAAAUAAACACUUGGCUCAGCAUUUUCCUGAUUUUUUGUCACAAGUAAAGACUAUGAAAAGGAAUUAUUGACUCUUUUAGGUAUAAGCUACCGUAGUCAAUGUUGAGUGCGUGCUGCACACCACAUUUGUUUAUGUUCCAUUAACAAUGACAUCAAAGCACAAUGCUAUAUAUAGAUUAUGUAUUGUUUUCCAUUGUUUAUCAGUCUAUAAACAACCAUUUAUUGUAAUAGCCUUACAUAAACUGUCAUAAAGAUGAUAAAGUGCUGUUAAUCCAUUAAAGGGGCCUUUUCACAGAUUUUGGCAUUUUUUUAACUUAUUCAUUAAAUGCUUUAUAUUGAUAAAUGUAAACAUUGGAUCAUAAAAGCUCCAGUAAAAAAUCAAGAAAAAAAUUUAAAAAAGGAAAAGAACAUUGCCCGGAGCAGGUUUCGAACCGUGACCCCUGGAGUCCUUCCAGAGUCCUGAAGUAAAAACGCUUUAGCCUACUGAGCUAUUCCGCCGAGUACACAUUCGUGACGUAUUUUAUACCUUAUAUAAGCAAUCUUCGUAGUUUCACAAAAUUUAACGACAAAAACAGAACUCUCCAAAUUAUUCAAUCGUUUCGCGUUGCAACGCUUUAUAAUUUUUAGGUUUUAAAAUCGUCAAAAGAUGCAUAUAAUGGCUAUAUUAGAGCAUGGUUAAUGUUCAGUAUUACUGUUUCCUCACAAAUAUCAUAACUAAAACGAAAACUUACGAAUCUGAAACAACUUUUUUCAAUUUUGUCAAUUUACCAAAGCGUGAAAAGAUCCCUUUAAUAAAAAAUUGGUGGAAUUCAGAAAUAAUCUGAUCUGUCAAAUGUUGAAAGUUGGAAACAGUUAUUCAAAAUGUUAUCAAUUAUAGUUUUGUUUCAUGAAUAUAGAGUAUUAUGUUUUGUGUUCAUUAUGUUAUGGAUUGUGUUGUUUUGGUUUAAAAUGUUUUAAUAAAUAACAUGAAGAAAUAA